rnacentral:tRNA from 2 species
GGGCCUAUAGUUCAGUGGCAGAACACAGCAUUCGCAUUGCUGAAACGGCGGUCCGAUUCCGCCUAGGUCCACAA